CCUUUGCGUUUAUCGAAGCUGAGACAAGGAUGGCCAUUUCUGACUUCAAAAGGGUGUAAACAACAGCUGCAGAAUUGGAAUAUUUGAUUGAAAUCGAGGAGAUGAGGGAUUAUCGAAAACCAGGACAAAAAGAACAUCAGUUGAUAGAUGAAGUUAUUGAUGACUUGGCUGGUAUUGGAAAACAAAUGGAUAGUAUAUUACUCAAACAGGACGAUAAAGAAGAGACUAAAAUGAUUACACAGGACAUCACUCAAAGAACAGUUGUGAAAGAUAUUUUUGGGACAACCAUUAGAUCAGCUAGGGAAGAAGAAAAUGAACUAAAACAGAUCCAGCAAUACAUGUCCGAUUUAAUUGACGAAGCUGUCAUCGAAUUUGACGAAGAACUGUGGAGAACACUGGAAGCAAAGAUCCAGAGCUUGUCAAUAACAGCGGACAAUAUGAGCAUAAAUUCCUCCACCGAAAAUUGCAGCAUAUCGUGUACGAGUGCGAGUAACCAUGAAGUAGGAACACUUGUACUCCAAUCUCCGUUUGAAAAAAUCAUAACAACAAAUUCCGCCAUAACACAUGGAC